UUUUAUAUGCGAUAAACGAAUAUUAUUUAUUUAUCUAUCUAUCAUUUCUGAAAUUUGUACUUUUCAGUUCUUGAUGCGCAUGGUUAAUUUUGCUUAAUGUUUCCUAUAUAAGGAAUGCCUAUACCUACACUCCACCCAAUUUUUGUUUGCCCCCCUGUACCCUGGCCUGUGGCCGCAGUUCAUGAAACUUUAGCAGUUCUGGACUAUAAGUACACACCACGGAAGCCUUAAAAUGAACAUAACACCAAUAAAACUCGUCAAACGUAUCGAAAAAGAGGAACCACUCGAAUCCAAACGAAACGUACCGAAGCAAUAGACCAGCACUGUAGGUACGUACAUACGUACGAGUAUGUAUGCACAGUGGAUCUCCCAAGCUUGCCUCACCCACGUGUCUAGACUAAGCCGUUAACGAGGAGCCAAUACAAUAUUACAGGAGGAAUCAGCCAGCACAGAAAGAUCAAAUACGAUUUAACAAUAAGCAUUAACGUGUUCAGCCACCCAAUGUUAACCUUAUAAUCUUAACUUUUCUAACCCCGGAACUGCCCCAGACCUUCACAUCAGCCUAGGCCUACCUCCGUCACCCACUCACCGUCUUUUCUAGAGUAAUAGAGUAUAGUCUGGGAGCACGCCCAGGUCCAGCGGGUGCAUGUGCACACUUGGGUGUGUGAGUGUGAUCAUUACAUUGUAUGUAGAUACAUAUACUUAGUUAGCCUAUACUACGAUUAUUCGAAUUGGAGGAGUCGAAGCUUGGCUUCGGCUCUCGCGGCGACUUAGUGGCCCGUAAGAAGUUGGAUCUGAAUGCGAGUCAUGGUUCAGGUAUGAUUUGAUUCGACCCUGAGUUACCCAAUUACCGAAACCCUACAGAAGCAACGCUUCAACCUCUGCCCAGCGAAACUUUUUCCGUUAAAUUUGUACGCCGUAGUUAUAGACAAGAAUAUGGAAAUGGAGCCGGAUCCGGAUCCGGAUCCGGAUCCGGAUCCAGUUCCGGCUGGUUGGACGGGAAGGGAAAUGCCAAAGCACAAACAGAAGCACAAAAAGCCAAUCAACAUAAGCAACACCAAGAUGCAACAAGAAUAACAACGAUAUUUUACGAUCGAUAAGAGAAAACCAAAAUCAAAAUCAACAACAAGGAAGUGGUGGAGGAGCAAUAAAACCAAGAGUUAAGAAACGCUUUAAAGUUAAUCUACAUUUAAAUAUAUGUAGUUAUGUAUUUAUAAUAUGUGUAUGUAUACAGUUAUAAUGUAUUGCCCAAAAGCCGAUGUUGAAUGUCAAUAAUCAACAUCGAAGCAAAACAAGACAUCAAACUUUACUACCAAUAGCAAUCCAAGACACCAAAACUUGUAGUCGGUGACGAAGACGAAUCGCUGUAGUGACUUAUUAACUAUACAUACUUAAAUAUUAAUUGUAACCAAUAUGGUGGGGUUGGACCCCCGACUUCCGACUUCCGCCACAGCCACAGCCCCCUCCUCUCUUCUUACGAAACAAUGCAUGCAAGAGGAACCCCACUUCGAGGCCUCAGAGGGCAGGGGAGCCCCAUAUACGGGGAAUACCAAAUCACAAAUCACUGCACAAAGAAACAGUUGAGGUUACGUUUUUGUUACAAAUUUGCAUAAUACAAAUGUUAUAAGCUACCAUAUACAGAAUGUAAUAUUAACAUAAAUAUAUAGUAUAUGUGCCUGUACCUAUAUAUGUAUGUAUGUACAUAUGUAUGUAGUAUAUGGCGGAAUACUGCACAAUUCCCUGUGAAACUCCAUUGGAUUGGAGGAACGAAUAACCAAAAGAAAUAUUUAUAUGUAGCAUGCAUAUAUAGAAAUUACUUUUCAUAGCUCCAUUGCAUGCGAAUAUUAACCUAUAAAUACAUAUAUACAUGCAUAUAUAUGUACAUAUGUAUAUAUGUAUAUAUUUUUGAUGGUUGGACGAGGAAGAAAGCCCCGAAUGAGAGGUAAGCAAGCCCACAAAAGACGUGAAGAAACCACAAGUUUAUGUAGCUUUAAAUCGUAAGAAGACAAAAGUUAAAACAUCAAAUAGAAACAGUAAAGGAAACCAAAAUAAGAAAAAGAAGCAUAGUUCAAAAAAAUGAAUUAAAUAUAUGUAAUUAUGAUUACAAAUUCGUUGUAAACGUUGAAGCAAAAUAUAUAUAGUACAUACAUUAUAAAAAAUAUGCUUUAAAACGAAAUCAAACACCAGACACCAAAGUAGCCCAGGAAACAAUGUUGGACAAUUUUAACUCAUAAGAAGAUCAAAGUAAAACAUCAAAAUAUUACCACAAGGAAAAAGAAAACUAAAAAUAGGUCAAAUGAACAUAUUGGAAAGUAAAGAGACAGAAAUCAACACCAAACUACGACAUAUACUAUAUACAUAUGGGCAUAUUUAACCGAAACCCAAGCACAAAAAUCUCAAAAGGAAGUCCUCACCAAGGAGUCCUUGCCAUGCUUUGCUCUUCAAAGCAAAAUACCGAUAAUAAUCAGAUUGGGAUAUAUUCAACAUUUUAAUGUGUCUGCAUAUUUAAAAAUAAACAAAAUAUUACUAAAUAAACCAUAUUAAAAAUAA
rnacentral:sRNA from 1 species